rnacentral:tRNA from 1 species
GGGCUCGUGGUCUAGUCGGCUAUGACGUUGCCCUUACAAGGCAAAGGUCCCCGGUUCAAGUCCGGGCGGGCCCA